rnacentral:rRNA from 1 species
ACUGGUGACGAUAGCGAAGAGGCCAAACCUGUUCCCAUCCCGAACACAGCAGUCAAUCUCUUCAGCGCCGAUAGUACUUGGUCUUAGGGCCUGGGAGGGUAGGACGUUGCCAGUU